rnacentral:rRNA from 1 species
AUUUUCAAUAAAAAAUUGUAAAUCAUGUUGAAACACCCGAUCCCAUACCGAACUCGAUGUGUGAAAAUUAUUCAAAUCUCACAAUACUCUAAGUGUUUUAUUUAGGGGAAAAUGAGAGUAAAAU